UACAGAGGUCGCAAGCGUUGUUCGGAUUUACUGGGCGUAAAGGGCGCGUAGGCGGCUAAUUAAGUCAGCUGUGAAAUCUCCGAGCUUAACUCGGAACUGUCAGCUGAUACUGAUGUGCUAGAGUGCGGAAGGGGCAAUCGGAAUUCUUGGUGUAGCGGUGAAAUGCGUAGAUAUCAAGAGGAACACCUGAGGUGAAGACGGGUUGCUGGGCCGACACUGACGCUGAGUGCGCGAAAGCCAGGGGAGCAAACGGG
rnacentral:rRNA from 1 species